rnacentral:rRNA from 1 species
AGAGUUUGAUCCUGGCUCAGGACGAACGCUGGCGGCGUGCCUAACACAUGCAAGUCGAGCGGGGAGAGAUUUUCGGAUUUCUCUUUAGCGGCGGACGGGUGAGUAACACGUGGGUAACCUGCCUCAAAGAGGGGGAUAGCCUUCCGAAAGGAAGAUUAAUACCGCAUAAUAUCAGGGAGCUGCAUGGCAUUCUGAUCAAAGGAGCAAUCCGCUUUGAGAUGGACCCGCGGCGCAUUAGCUAGUUGGUGAGGUAACGGCCCACCAAGGCGACGAUGCGUAGCCGACCUGAGAGGGUGAUCGGCCACAUUGGAACUGAGACACGGUCCAGACUCCUACGGGAGGCAGCAGUGGGGAAUAUUGCACAAUGGGGGAAACCCUGAUGCAGUAACGCCGCGUGAGUGAUGAAGGCCUUCGGGUCGUAAAGCUCUUUGAUCAGGGACGAUAAUGACGGUACCUGAAAAACAAGCCACGGCUAACUACGUGCCAGCAGCCGCGGUAAUACGUAGGUGGCGAGCGUUGUCCGGAUUUACUGGGCGUAAAGAAUGCGUAGGUGGAUAUUUAAGUGGGAUGUGAAAUCCCCGGGCUCAACCCGGGAACUGUAUACCAAACUGGAUAUCUGGAGUGCAGGAGAGGAAAGCGGAAUUCCUAGUGUAGCGGUGAAAUGCGUAGAUAUUAGGAGGAACACCAGUGGCGAAGGCGGCUUUCUGGACUGUAACUGACACUGAGGCAUGAAAGCGUGGGGAGCAAACAGGAUUAGAUACCCUGGUAGUCCACGCCGUAAACUAUGGGUACUA